CAGCCGCCGCGGUAAUACGGAGGGUGCAAGCGUUACUCGGAAUUACUGGGCGUAAAGCGUGCGUAGGUGGUGGUUUAAGUCCGUUGUGAAAGCCCUGGGCUCAACCUGGGAAUUGCAGUGGAUACUGGGUCACUAGAGUGUGGUAGAGGAUAGUGGAAUUUCCGGUGUAGCAGUGAAAUGCGUAGAGAUCGGAAGGAACAUCUGUGGCGAAGGCGACUAUCUGGGCCAACACUGACACUGAGGCACGAAAGCGUGGGGAGCAAACAGGAUUAGAUACCCCCGUAGUCCCUGUCUCUUAUAC
rnacentral:rRNA from 1 species